AGAACGAACGCUGGCGGCAGGCUUAACACAUGCAAGUCGAACGGUUGUAGCAAUACAGCAGUGGCAGACGGGUGAGUAACACGUGGGAACCUUCCUAGGGGUACGGAACAACUCAGGGAAACUUGAGCUAAUACCGUAUACGUCCGUGAGGAGAAAGAUUUAUCGCCCUUAGACGGGCCCGCGUAGGAUUAGGUAGUUGGUGAGGUAACGGCUCACCAAGCCUACGAUCCUUAGCUGAUCUGAGAGGAUGAUCAGCCACACUGGGACUGAGACACGGCCCAGACUCCUACGGGAGGCAGCAGUGGGGAAUCUUGGACAAUGGGCGCAAGCCUGAUCCAGCCAUGCCGCGUGAGUGAAGAAGGCCUUCGGGUUGUAAAGCUCUUUUACCAGGGACGAUAAUGACGGUACCUGGAGAUAAGCCUGGCAACUUCGUGCCAGCAGCCGC
rnacentral:rRNA from 1 species